rnacentral:rRNA from 1 species
GACGAACGCUGGCGGCGUGCUUAACACAUGCAAGUCGAGCGGUAAGGCCCUUUCGGGGGUACACGAGCGGCGAACGGGUGAGUAACACGUGGGUGACCUGCCUUUAGCUCUGGGAUAAGCCUGGGAAACUGGGUCUAAUACCGGAUAUGACCCUAUGGCGCAUGUUGUGGGGUGGAAAGCCUUGUGCGGCUAGGGAUGGGCCCGCGGCCUAUCAGCUUGUUGGUGGGGUGAUGGCCUACCAAGGCGACGGACGGGUAGCCGGCCUGAGAGGGCGACCGGCCACACUGGGACUGAGACACGGCCCCAGACUCCUACGGGAGGCAGCAGUGGGGAAUCUUGCGCAAUGGGCGAAAGCCCGACGCAGCGACGCCGCGUGAGGGAUGACGGCC